rnacentral:lncRNA from 1 species
CUCUUGUUCCAGACGUCAAACAACAAAUAAUGAACGUGAAAUACUCAGACGUCAGAGAGUACAGAUAUAAUAUUGGUUGUUUCAAGUAUUGGUAUAAGGCCAGCAGGAUUGCAGGAGGGGUACAUCGGCUCCCAAGUGUUCAACUGGUAUUUAUAUUAUCGACUCUGAAAGGAUGGAAGACAAGGUCGGCCUCAGCGGAAUUUGAACGAAGAACGUAAAUACAAAGGAUGUGCCGCCGCUUGAGAAACGGUGUGGGAGUGCUUACGUUCGCGUGACUCAACGGCAAAUGUGCCCGAUAGAAUAAGUACCAGACUUUUAAAUAAGCUCUUCGAGUC